CCAGCCUCCAGCUGCCAAGACAAUGAUGGAGAUGUUGGGUGUACACUGGAGGUGUUGUGGAUUGUUGUCUGCUAUGAACAUGGAUUGGAGGGGGGUAAAAGGAUUGGAGGGACAGAUUGGUCUCGACUUAGUUGAAUGAUAGAACAGGCUCAAGAGACUGAGUGGCCAUCUCCUGUUCCUUGAUUCCUGUUGGGAAUGGGGUUGAAGGAUCACAAUUGGAAUUGCCUAUGCCCAGACUGUGUUACUAACUGUGCCCUCUCCAUUGACAGUACUCUGAGAAGGAAGACAAGUAUGAAGAUGAAAUCAAGAUUCUAACUGACAAGCUGAAGGAGGCAGAAACCCGUGCAGAGUUUGCUGAAAGGACUGUUGCCAAACUG